rnacentral:tRNA from 1 species
GGGUAAAUAAUGUAUUAUAUUUGACUCAUAAUCAGGGAGUCCCAGGUUCAAAUCCUGGUGGGCCCA